rnacentral:tRNA from 1 species
GCCUGGCUGGCUCAGUCGGUUGAGCAUCCGACUUUGGCUCAGGUCAUGAUCUCACAGUUUGUGGGUUCCAGCCCUGCGUCGGGCU